rnacentral:rRNA from 1 species
GAUGAACGCUGGCGGCGUGCUUAACACAUGCAAGUCGAACGAGAAGUGGAGACGGAAACCUUCGGGCGGAAGACUUUAUUUCGAGUGGCGGACGGGUGAGUAACGCGUGGGUAACCUGCCUCAUACAGGGGGAUAACAGUUGGAAACGACUGUUAAUACCGCAUAAGACCACAGCACCGCAUGGUGCGGGGGUAAAAACUCCGGUGGUAUGAGAUGGACCCGCGUUCGAUUAGCCAGUUGGCGGGGUAACGGCCCACCAAAGCGACGAUCGAUAGCCGAUCUGAGAGGAUGACCGGCCACAUUGGGACUGAGACACGGCCCAAACUCCUACGGGAGGCAGCAGUGGGGAAUAUUGCACAAUGGGGGAAACCCUGAUGCAGCGACGCCGCGUGAGUGAAGAAGUAUUUCGGUAUGUAAAGCUCUAUCAGCAGGGAAGAAAAUGACGGUACCUGAGUAAGAAGCCCCGACUAACUACGUG